rnacentral:rRNA from 1 species
UUAAACAGCACGUGAAAUUGUUGAAAGGGAAGCGCUUGCGACCAGACUCGCCCGCGGGGUUCAGCCGGCAUUCGUGCCGGUGUACUUCCCCGUGGGCGGGCCAGCGUCGGUUUGGGCGGCCGGUCAAAGGCCCCUGGAAUGUAGUGCCCUCCGGGGCACCUUAUAGCCAGGGGUGCAAUGCGGCCAGCCUGGACCGAGGAACGCGCUUCGGCACGGACGCUGGCAUAAUGGUCGUAAACGACCCGUCUUGAAACACGGACCAAGACUGGGAAACACUUGACACACAGACCAAG